GAUGAACGCUGGCGGCGUGCCUAAUACAUGCAAGUCGAGCGAACGGACGAGAAGCUUGCUUCUCUGAUGUUAGCGGCGGACGGGUGAGUAACACGUGGAUAACCUACCUAUAAGACUGGGAUAACUUCGGGAAACCGGAGCUAAUACCGGAUAAUAUUUUGAACCGCAUGGUUCAAAAGUGAAAGACGGUCUUGCUGUCACUAAUAGAUGGAUCCGCGCUGCAUUAGCUAGUUGGUAAGGUAACGGCUUACCAAGGCGACGAUGCAUAGCCGACCUGAGAGGGUGGUCGGCCACACGAGAACGGAGACACGGUCCAGACUCCUACGGGAGGCAGCAGUAGGGAAUCUUCCGCAAAGGGCGAAAGCCUUACGGAGCAACGCCGCGUGAGUGAUGAAGGUCUUCGGAUCGUAAAACUCUGUUAUUAGGGAAGAACAUAUGUGUAAGUAACUGUGCACGUCUUGACGGUACCUAAUCAGAAAGCCACGGCUAACUACGUG
rnacentral:rRNA from 1 species